UUGACCUCGGAUCAGGUAGGAGUUACCCGCUGAACUUAAGCAUAUCAAUAAGCGGAGGAAAAGAAACCAACCGGGAUUGCCUCAGUAACGGCGAGUGAAGCGGCAAGAGCUCAAAUUUGAAAUCUGGCCCCUUUGGGGUCCGAGUUGUAAUUUGCAGAGGAUGCUUCGGGUGCGGUCCCCGUCUAAGUGCCCUGGAACGGGCCGUCAUAGAGGGUGAGAAUCCCGUCUGGGAUGGGCGGCCGCGCCCGUGUGAAGCUCCUUCGACGAGUCGAGUUGUUUGGGAAUGCAGCUCUAAGCGGGUGGUAAAUUUCAUCUAAAGCUAAAUACUGGCCGGAGACCGAUAGCGCACAAGUAGAGUGAUCGAAAGAUGAAAAGCACUUUGAAAAGAGAGUUAAACAGCACGUGAAAUUGUUGAAAGGGAAGCGUUGUCCACCAGACUCGCCCGGGGGGGUUCAGCCGGCACCUGUGCCGGUGUACUCCUCUCCGGGCGGGCCAGCAUCGGUUUGGGCGGCUGGUGAAAGGCCCCGGGAAUGUACCACCCUUCGGGGUGCCUUAUAGCCCGGGGUGCCAUACAGCCAGCCUGGACCGAGGCCCGCGCUCCGGCGAGGAUGCUGGCGUAAUGGUGGUCAACGGCCCGUCUUGAAACACGGACCAAGGAGUCUAACAUCUAUGCGAGUGUUCGGGUGUCAAACCCGUCCGCGCAGUGAAAGCGAACGGAGGUGGGAGCCCCUCGGGGCGCACCAUCGACCGAUCCUGAUGUCUUCGGAUGGAUUUGAGUAAGAGCAUAGCUGUUGGGACCCGAAAGAUGGUGAACUAUGCCUGAAUAGGGCGAAGCCAGAGGAAACUCUGGUGGAGGCUCGCAGCGGUUCUGACGUGCAAAUCGAUCGUCAAAUUUGGGUAUAGGGGCGAAAGACUA
rnacentral:rRNA from 1 species